CACUGGAUACCAUCACACAGAUUGAAUAUCAUUACACCGGCGGCAAAUUGGGGGGUGGACGAUCUUUGGAAUCUUUGUCGUGGUGUCUUGCAUGUUGAGAUAAACUGGGCGCGACAGUCUAUUCGUUCAAAUUGUCAAGGAAGGUGGGUGACAUGCAUGGAAUUCCAUGGGAUUUCAGAAAUUCCGGUACUCUUCGUUGGUUCCACCGCAGCGACAGCCUCUUCGCAAAUUCUUAUCGAAGGAGUAGGCAAUCGCUGAGCUGAUUGAAAGCCACAGUUUCCACGUUCGAGGUGUUGACGAAAUUUCGGCUGGAUGAGAACCUUCUGAGGUCCUAGUGCACGUAUCAAACCUGGUCAGAUUUUGGAAGAGCACCAAGCUUUUUUGAAGCGGAAUCGAAGUAUCGUAGAUAUUUGAUGGUGCACAUGAGGAGAGGGCUAGUAAUUUUUGUUGGAACGCAGGCGGCGCGGACAUGCUCCACCGCAUCUGGCUCUAAAUCCAUUAGCUCCACACCCCGCCGUUUAAACUUUUACACAAACCGGCGAAUUGAAUUAUCUUCAUACGGCCGGAUAGGACGGUCUGAGAUCAUGAACGGACCCCAACCACCUGUGGUCGGCAAAAAACAUUUCUUUUCCUGGGCACUGCGUCGACCUCCACCGCAAAUUUCUGCUCUGUCGAGAAGUUAUGCAGUAGCACAACCUAUCCCAGAGGAGUUGGACAUGGAAAGAGACAAGGAAGCUGGGAUGGAAGAGGUGGUGGAAGAUUGUCGAGUCCAGCAUGGGGAGCUGUGGAAUGAAGAUGUAAAAAUCCACUAUGUGGAAUGUGGAGACAAGAACGGAGAACUGGUUGUGUUGAUUCACGGCUUCCCGAAUUUUUGGUAUGUUUGGAAGCGCCAGUUUCUAGCGUUGGCUGAAUCAGGUUACCAUGUAGUUGCACCCGAUUUGCGUGGCUACAACUCAUCCUCCAAGCCUAAAGGCAUACAGCAUUACGGCCGGUGUGGCGUGGUUUCGGACAUGGUUCGCAUCAUUGAUGGACUUGGUGGUGGGAAGCCAUCCACGGUGGUAGGGCAUGAUUGGGGAGGAUUCGUGACCUGGGCAUUGGUGGAAGACUUCCCGGACAAGGUGAAGGCAAUAUUUGUUAACGUACCUCAUGCGACAGUGUUUAGCGAAGCCGUCCGUUCUAACUUCCGUCAGAUGCGUCGGAGUUGGUAUGUUGGGUUUUUUCAGCUGCCUUGGGUUCCUGAAUGGUUGAUGAGUCAUGGAGAUUAAGCUUCUCUACCUGUAUUGUUCUGAAAUAUCACUCUUGGCCUUGGACCCGACCCUUUUUGAAAUCCUCACAAACGAAGUUAAGGCCUGGAUAUUCAAACAUCUUCUGUACAUAAUUUCUUCUUGUUAUGGGUUUCUCUGAGCUUAAACUGUCAUUGCCCUUUUGGUGACUGUGUACAGUUUUAAGACUUUAAGGGCGUCUUUUGGUAACACUAAAGAUCAACCUGAAGACAUUGACAGGUAAUUGAACUGUUUGCGACGUUCAGAUGUUUGUUGCAAGAGAAUGCAGGAAAACGUAGAAGAGUUUUUUUUUUUUUUUUUUUUUUUUUUUUUUUUUGUGACAAGUGUUUCCAAAUAUUACCGAGCGUGGGUCCGAGGGUAUUGGUCUCCACCUCCAGAUGCACCCAAGCCUAUACAUGUUGAGGUGCCUGUUGUUCUCAUUUGGGGUGACCUUGAUGCUUAUAUUGGGAAGGAGCUGGCCGUGAUCCCCAAGAAAAUCGCCCCCAACUCCGAGGUCAAGCGUCUCCCACAUUGUUCGCAUUGGCCAAUGUGGGAUGAUCCAGUGCAAUUCAACGCUCUACUCCUGGAAUCCAUAGCCUCGCACCAGGCAACCUCUACUUCCCAGGUGCAAAUUGCCACGAUGUCGACCAGUGAAGUCAUUUUGGUUAAAUAACCAUCUCUACAAGCUGGGUGCAGCUUUUGGACGGCUGAUGAUCUUUUCAUGUAAUAUUUCCCAGAGAGCGAACCCUGCAAAAGGCUUUGUUCUGCACAGGAACAUUUGUGGAGGAUUGAUUAGCCUGAAAGUACUUGUGCUGGUCACUGGGAUGGACGGAUCUAGAUGUAGGCUAUUUGUUUUAUGGACGUAUGAUGCUACAGUGGCUAACCAAACAAAUUGUUUACAAAACACAAGUCCAAAAAUUACGAAGACCAGAAAUUGUUCCACUCCGUUCGAAGCUGUUCUUGGAUGUAUCCUCGAGCUGGGUCAACUGUAACUAAUAAAUAGAUAAAGGGAUCAGAUUUAUAUUAAACGUGGCUUUUAAGUGGCUCUUCAGUUGAUUCUGAGGAUGCAUGCCACCAUACAAUAGCUAUUGACACAUGAUAUUAUUUAGGUGAGGCUACGGCAUUAACAUGCAACUACAGGGGCCGAAUUUGCGAGAGAUGAAUGCCAUCGAAGCUGGUCGAACAGCUUUGCGGUAAUUUCUGAGUGAGGAGCAGGUGCCAGUGAGCAGUGACCCCAACCAGAGCACCGAUUUCUAACUGACGCUGUCAAGCUCAAGGCACUUUUCUGAGGUUGGACAUUCCCAAUUGUCAGAUUCCUCUUCUGAUCUGACAAGUGGUUCUUUGUUAAAAGUUUCAAUUGACAAUUUUCUCUAUUUUAAUUUGCAACUUGAUGACA